UUAGCUCGCCAAGAAAAAGUUUCUUUCCUUUUUUUAUUUACAGAAAGUUUACAUAUGAACUCUAAAAGUUGCAAAUGAUAGAAGUUUA